CCUACGGGCGGCUGCAGUGGGGAAUAUUGCACAAUGGGGGAAACCCUGAUGCAGCGACGCCGCGUGAGUGAAGAAGUAAUUCGUUAUGUAAAGCUCUAUCAGCAGGGAAGAAAAUGACGGUACCUGAGUAAGAAGCCCCGGCUAACUACGUGCCAGCAGCCGCGGUAAUAAGUAGGGGGCAAGCGUUAUCCGGAUUUACUGGGUGUAAAGGGAGCGUAGGCGGCAGUGCAAGUCUGGUGUGAAAGGCGGGGGCUCAACCCCCGGACUGCUUUGGAAACUGUAAGGCUGGAGUGUAGGAGAGGUAAGUGGAAUUCCUGGUGUAGCGGUGAAAUGCGUAGAUAUUAGGAGGAACACCAGUGGCGAAGGCGGCUUACUGGACUGUAACUGACGUUGAGGCUCGAAAGCGUGGGGAGCAAACAGGAUUAGAUACCCUUGUAGUC
rnacentral:rRNA from 1 species